AACGAACGCUGGCGGCAUGCCUAACACAUGCAAGUCGAACGAGACCUUCGGGUCUAGUGGCGCACGGGUGCGUAACGCGUGGGAACCUGCCUUUAGGUUCGGAAUAACUCAGAGAAAUUUGAGCUAAUACCGGAUGAUGUCUUCGGACCAAAGAUUUAUCGCCUUUAGAUGGGCCCGCGUUGGAUUAGCUAGUUGGUGGGGUAAAGGCCUACCAAGGCGACGAUCCAUAGCUGGUCUGAGAGGAUGAUCAGGCACACUGGGACUGAGACACGGCCCAGACUCCUGCGGGAGGCAGCAGUGGGGAAUAUUGGACACUGGGCGAAAGCCUGAUCCAGCAAUGCCGCGUGAAUGAUGAAGGCCUUAGGGUUGUAAAGCUCUUUUACCCGAGAUGAUAAUGACAGUAUCGGGAGAAUAAGCUCCGGCUAACUCCGAG
rnacentral:rRNA from 1 species